ensembl:lncRNA
CUUAACUAUUUGGCUUCAAUGCGCUAUUGAGUCUUUACAUAGAAAUGAAUGGUGUCACAUAAUGCCAUGGCUUUGACCAUUCAUAUAUACAGUCAUUGGUCAUCACCGCUGCAUGUGACGAAGAUGUUUAGUCACAGAUAGUCAAUAUGUGACCUCUCCAAGGCCAUGUUGCCAUGUUUCUAGCAGUUUCAGAUCUAUGUGGUUUAUAUACAUGGCUCUAUCUGCCACAUUGUGCUUUUAGACCUGAAAAGGAAACUGGAGCCAGAGAGAGGAGGCGUGUCUGCGUGCUCACAGGGAGGCGGAGAGGAAGAGGCAGCAGAGAGAACUGCUGCAGGUACAGGAGGAGCAGGAGAGACUGCAGAGGAAGAAGGUUAACACACAGACACACACACACACCUUACCCCCGAAUAUGCUGCCCUUUAAGCUGUUUCCCUAAACUCGCGUGUGUGUGUGUGUGUGUGUGUGUGUGUGUGCGCGUGUGCGUGUGUCCAUAGCGGAUUGAGGAGAUCAUGAAGAGGACGCGUAAGAGUGAAACGGACUCCUCAUCCUCAGGUGUAUGUGAUGUGAACAGGGGCCAGGCAGGGCAGGGCAGGGAGCUGGAUCAGGAUGAGUCCCCUCUCAUCACGCUGGGCCCCCUGGAGAGAAAGAGCUGUGGAGGGGACGAGCUGUCUGACGGGGUACAGUCUAUGGACGUCAGCCCUGUGUCCAGGGAUGACUUGGGUAUCGUUCAGGACUUCUCUCCCGUCAGCGAGGCGUUAAACAGCAUGAGUAACGCCCGAACCCUGGAGCACCUCCUGGACCUCACCGCCCUGCCAGACACACCCCCCUACCCCAGGCUGCAGCCGGGCAGUGCUGCAGCCCUGGGAGACCUCAACAAGAACCUGCUGAUCCAGGGUUAUAACCCUGCCUCCUUAACUAGCUCCUCCCCCAGGUCCGCCCAGCUUCUCCACAGCCUCAGCCCUGGCAAACUGGACGUCUAGUAACCAGGGUAUUGUAUAGGACUAUUGGCUGUUGGGUGAAAAGAGAAGCUAGCAGCAGCAGGGGAGUCUCUGCUCUCCUCCUUCCUCACCAAAACUAGAGAGUGGGACCAGCUCCCUGCACCUCCACCCCUCCUUCCUCACCAAAACUAGAGAGUGGAACCAGCUCCCUGCACCUCCACCCCUCCUUCCUCAUCAAAACUAGAGAGUGGGACCAGCUCCCUGCACCUCCACCCCUCCUUCCUCAUCAAAACUAGAGAGUGGGACCAGCUCCCUGCAACUCCACCCCCCCCCCCCCCCCCCCCCUCUCUUCAGGGGAGAGGCCCUCCCCAUGCACCCCUGGACUCCACAGAGAGCAACUGCUCAAUGUCUGGCUCCCCCCUUAUAUCUAUAACUCAACACAUCUACAGCUGAAUUCACCUAUGUAAACACACACUGACAUGUACACACACACACACACACACACACACGGUUAAUACUCUCCCAGUAAAGUGAAGCUUUUUCUCUGUGCCCUGGCUGUAUGAUAUUGUGUAUAAAGGUGUGUCAGUGUUUGGAGGCUGAUGUAAUAUGGUUGUGUUAUCCUCCUGUAGCAUUAAUUAUGUGGUUAACACUGACCCUGUAGCACCUUCACUGGAGAACACCUCCUCCUGUAUAUACUGUAUACUGUUACACAGCUGUAACUCUGGGUAGAAGUUGCACCUAACCACAGAUCUAGAAUCAGAUUAUUCUAACCCUCAAUAACCUUAACCUUUGGGCAGAUGAACAUUUAAUCUGGCCCUGUAUCAGUGGUUAGGGGCAGCCUACUUGUUGUAACGGCUACGUUAGGAGUUUCUUUCUGUCAGUGUUUCUAGUGGUGGUCGGUUAUGAUCAUCACAGCACCACUGACACGCUGUACUACUGUUCACCAGGAGUCUACAAACGCUAUGUAGAACUCAGCUAGCCAGUCUAUAUGUUUGCAUCCGGCAACUGGCGAAACCUACUCAUCUACAGAUGCGGAUGAUUUAGUAUAGUAAGACAAAAGUCUGGCCUCAGUUGAUAUGCUUCUGUCCACCAACACGCCUUAGCUUUAGUGGUGUGUAAAAAAAAUGGUGGAACACUGGAGCAUUUCUUAUUAUAAUCUGAGCAAAAAGAAAAGGAAACUGUGAACAGUCUUGUAUUUUUUGCUAUUUGUAGGGCUGGGGGAUAUUGAAAAGAUGUGGCAUGUGUUUUUGGCUUGCUGUGUGUGCGCUAGCUGUGGUUUAGUUACUGUUGUGUAACAGCUCUGAAAACACUCAUCCCUACUCUGUUCUGGAAAUACUGUUCUCUCUAUAUGGCCUCUGCUCUGGAAAUACUGUUCUCUCUAUCUUGCCUCUGCUCUGAACUGGACUGUAUAUGCUGCAACUCACAGUCCUAGCAACUAGCAGUGAACCUACAGCAGGGGUCUCCAACUUUGGAGCUACUGGGUGGUCCUGGAGCUAUUUGGUGUGCAGGCUUUCGUUCCAGCCCUACAGUAACACACCUGAGUCCAUUAAUCAUGGUCCAGACUGAAGACGGUGAUUAGGGCAGGAACAAAAGCCUGCACAUUCAGUGAACCCUGUCCUACAGUAUCUCAUCAGUCUGUGUAAUCGCUCAGUCAGUCAACAGCUAUAUUCACUAUGACUGUGGCUUUACCUCAUGGAGAUCUAUCUCACUACAGAGGACACUUCACAGUCUGCUGUCCACUACUGCUGGGAAUUCGACCAAUCAUACAUGCUUCCUGUACUGUAACGGUCUUGUACCGAUCUUACUGUAACACUUGCCUUGCUUUGCUCUCAGGGCGGGUGUAGGUCAGCAUGUGUGCUCCCUCCCCUCACAGUUUCAAUCUCUGUUUCAGUUCCCCCUGAAGGGCACUGUGAGGUGCCAACCACUCCGCACGACCCAGCUAACCCUGUGAAGGGACACUGACUAGUGUCUAUAAUGGCUCUAAUGUUGAUGCUGUAUCUCAAUUACUGGACUAGAGUAGGUAAAGGAGUAGGUAAAGGAGUAGGUAAAGGAGUAGGUAAAGGCCUGGAAAGUCUCUUUAUCUUUGUUGUCUUCAGUGCGCUUGACUCUUGAUUUAGUUGCCAUGUCUGUUCGUCCAUCAGUCAGUCCAUCCAUCUCUCUUUCUGUGCUCGUUCAUAAUCUAAUGCUUUCUUUGUAUGCCAAGGGUAAAUUAAGUAAACUUAAGACUUAAGGUCAGAAUGUUAUUCACUAAAAAUCACUUAACAUUGUCACUGCAGCUUGGUGGAAUAUAUAACUGUAGACGUGGUGCAUGGAUCUAACUGCUGAAAACAACAAUAAAACGUCAUCAAGCCAUAUCUGUGACUUUGUUUAUAAACACCUAGCACAAAGAGCAUACCCCCCCUUUGCCCUCAGAGCAGCCUCAAUUUGUUGGGGCUGGACUCUACAAGGUGUUCGAAGGGCGUUCCACAAGGAUGCUGGCUAUGUUGCCUACAAUGCUUCCCACAAUCAAUCAAUCAAAUGUAUUUAUAAAGCCUUUUUUUUAUAUCAGCUGAUGUCACACAGUGCUGUACAGAAACCCAGCCUAAAACCCCAAAACAGCAAGCAAUGCAGAUGUAGAAGCACGUGGCUAGGGAAAACUCCCUAGAAAGGCUGGAACCUAGGAAGAAAUCUAGAGAGGAACCAGGCUCUGAGAGGUGGCCAGUCUUCUUCUGGCUGUGUCAGGUGGAGAUUAUAACAGAACAUGGCCAAGAUGUUCAAAUGUUCAUAGAAGACCAGCAAGCUCAAAUAAAAAUAAUCACAGUGGUUGUCGAGGGUGCAACAGGUCAGCACCUCAGGAGUAAAUGUCAGUUGGCUUUUCAUAGCCAAUCAUUGAGUUAGAAACAGCAGGUGCGGUAGAGAGAGAGAGAUGAAAACAGCAGGUCCGGGACAAUGUAGCACUUCCGGUGAACGGGUCAGGGUUCCAUAGCCGCAGGCAGAACAGUUGAAACUGGAGCAGCAACAUGACCAGAACGAGUUGGCUGGAUGUCCUUUGGGUGGUGGACCAUUCUUGACACACAGGAAACUGUUGAGUAUGAAAAACCCAGCAGCUUUGCAGUUCUUGACCCACCUGGUGUGCCUGGCACCUACUACCAUACCCCGUUCAAAGGCACAUCGUUUGUCUUGCCCAUUCACCCUCUGAAUGGCAUUCAUACACAAUCCAUGUCUCUAUUGUCUCAAGGCUUUUACAUUUUCUUUGACCUGUUUUCCCCCCCUUAUCUACACCGAAUGAAGUGGAUUUAAUAAAUUACAUUAAUAAGCUAUGGAUAAUAGCUUUCACCUGGAUUCACCUGGUCAUGGAAAGAGCAGCUGUUCUUAAUGUUUUAUAUCCUCAGUCUUGUGAAAAAAUAGUUUUGUAUUCUACAGUGAGUUUUGAUUAAAAAUUGAAUUGUAGGGGACACAUCUAGUUCAGAGGAAACAACUCAAGCAAAGAUGAUAUAACUAACCCCUUUUGUCUGUGACUCAAACGUCCUAACAGUGGCGCUAUCCUUAUUUUGUGUGUUUCCGGGUCAAGGCAGUUUAUUCUGUUUUGAAGUCGCGAGGCAAAGACGGUCAACUGUACAACUUCCUGAAUGCAGACAAUACGAACGUCCUUCAUAUGAGAUAUAUUUGAUCGUCAUUACUUACUAGCUAGUAGUUGUGUAAUAAAAUCGUGUGUGCGAGACUGGUGUUUUGGUUUACGUAUCCUCUAGUUUUGGUAGGAACGUGCGCUGGGGUAAGUGCCAUGCAGCUAGAUAGCUGGCUAAGACAUAGGCGAUUCAACUCACCGAUACACGAUGUGGUGCAGCAGCGAUUAUUGUGGGCGGACUGGAGCUCCGACGUCACAUAAAAUGAAGUUUUUAUUAAAAACGACUGAUUUCCACACCCAAAUAAUACCACACGACAGUGUUAAUGUUAUGUGACAUGUGAGCUCCAGUUAGGCGACAAUAAAACGAGUCAAAAUUCACCCAACGCUGAUAAACUACCAGUCGCCCAAACAAGUCGCCGCUCAAUUCACAUCGUAAAUCGUGGAGUUGAAGUGUCGGCUAGCAACGACAAUUAAACACACAAAUGUUAAGUUUUGGCGGUUAAUCUGGUGUAAAUCACUGCUAUUUAUUAGAUUUAGCUACGUUAGCUGGUAUUGUUUGGUAGUAACUAGUUAAAUAUUUCGUCGUUUGAGCUGAUCAUAGUCCCAAGUCUGGUCUUCUUCCUGACUAGUGGUUUUAGCAUGGCCUAGCUAGCAUAGUUAGUUCUCAAUGUUUUUCUACUACUGUACAUUUCAAUCCCUUUAGUUUCCAAGUUAAACGACAUAGUAAUGCUGGUUACAGUCCUAGCAUUUUGCUGAAUAAUCUGAAAUGUAUAUUGCUAUAUAUUCAGGACAGACAUUGCUUGUUCUGAUAUUUCUUCAUUUCUUUACGUUUUGGGGAUUUGUGUGUAUUGUUUUGCAUUGUUAGGUAUACUGCGCUGUUGGAGCUAGAAACAAGCAUUUGGCUGCACCUGUGAAAAUGUGUAGACGACAUAAAUAUAAAAAUAAAUCUUAUUGAUGCUUAUUGUAUGGCGUCACAGCAAGGGAACUGUGUAUUGUGGUAUUUUACCCAUGCAUACUCUUUCUCUC